rnacentral:lncRNA from 1 species
UCUCGGACAGUAUAUGCCUUUAGGAUCUUUGCUCUCUUGCCCGUUUGUUCCCUAAGCCUUCCUCAUGCCUUGCAUCACAAGUCUUCAUCAGCUGAGUGUACAGAUUAGGGUUGCUUCUCUCACAUUGCGCCCUAUCUUUGCACAACUCCAAAACAUCCCAAGACUUGAUAGAAACUCUUUUGGAUCGACCAUGUCCUUACCGGGCCGUACCAUCCGUACAGCCGGCCGUACAUGGCCGUCUCUAUCUUUGCACCAUCAACCUUUCUCUCCUAAACUCAUCCAAAGGCUACUCCACUUCUAUAUGAACUCUUCUUAGCCAUUGUCCCAACCUUGUAUCAGCUUCUCAUCACUUUCUGAAGCUUCAUAGAACUCUUCUUAAGAUCUUCAAGAGCUUGCCCUAUUUAUGCACAAGCUCCAUUCUUCUCUUCAGUUCAACAGGUUUUCCCCUCUCCUUCUCUAAUCUGAAACACUAAUCUUUAGUCUCUUAUUCUCUCAGUCUCUUAAAUCUCUUAAUCUCUCUGUUCUUAAGCCUCUCAUACACUCAUAUACACUCUCA